GCAGCCUGACGUGUCCCUUUCCCCUUAACCUUAUCCUCUCGUACAAGAGAUGUUUGAGAUUCGUGAGGUGUCAAAAUCUCUUGGCUUCAUCGUCCUUGCUCAAGGAUCAAAGGUUUGUGAUUUUUAUUCUGUUGGAGGUCUGUAUGAUGACAACUUGCAUCGUUAUCCCUUUAGGGAAUUUCAAAUUCAAAUGGUGAGGAAGAAUCUCGAAUUUUCCCCAGGCCCUCCUAAGAUUUCCUCCGCCCUCCCUCAUCCAAAAAUCCUAAGGCUCCUCUAUAUAAACCCCGCCCGUAUUAUUGAAAAGGGGGGUUGGAGAAUUAAGUAAAAAUUUUAGGGUGAUUCCUAAGGAGAAUUUUGUAGAGAGUUAUAAGUUUUCUUUGAAAGGGUUCGUUGCCAAAAGAUAGUAAACGUUUUCGAACAUUUUAGGACGAGUGUAAGAGAGUUUAGCCUUCGAGCGAAGAAAACAGAGGAGGGAGCCUUUGAUUAUUGGGGAUGUGCGUUGAAGCGCUGCUUUGCUUGUUCCAUCUCAGUUCGCUGCUCCGCAGAAGGUUCAGGUUCUCAACAUCCAGAUCACGCUUAGAUUGAUUCGCGAUCUCUAGUUCAACAGAUUCAGUGAUCAUGCCUUCUCAUAGAGCCAACGCUAGGAAUGCGACCAGUCCAAGAUCAAGAAGUCUCUAAUGAUGAGUUUAGGAAUGCUAUACAGAUGUUGGCUCAGAGUAUGACUAACUAGAACAAUUGGGUUCAUGCUCAUGUUAAUGCAAAUGGUGGAUCAGUAGCAGCAAGGGUCCGUGAGUUUGUUAGGAUGAAUCCGCCUGAGUUUUUAGGAUCACAAACUAAUAAUGAUCGUCAGAAUUUCUUGGAUGAUAUAAAGAAGAUCUUUGAGGUAAUGCAAGUCACUAGGAAUGAUCGGGUUGAGUUGGCAUCAUAUCAGUUGAAAGAUUUGCUCAUAUAUGGUACACUCAGUGGAUGGAAAAUAGGGGUAAAGAUGCGGCUCCUAUUACUUGGUGUUACUUUAGUAAGACCUUUCUGGAUAGGUUUUUCCCAAUAAAGUUGAGAGAAGCAAAAGAUCAAGAAUUCAUGAACUUGAGGCAAGUAUGGGCUGAAGUUUAACCAACUCUCCAGGUAUGCUCCUCACAUGGUUGCUGACUCCAAGACUCAGAUGAAUAAGUUCUUGUAUGGAGUGUCGAAUUCGGUGAAAACUGAGUGUAGAAGUGCUAUGUUACUUGGACAUAUGACAUAUCUACGCUUGUGACUCAUGCUCAGUAGGUUGAGGGUGAUAAACUCAGUGAACAGGCUAAGGAGAAUAAGAAGGCUAGGACUGGGAACUAUGACUAUUCUCACCAGAAAUAGGGUGGUAGAAAUCGCUUGCAGAGCCAACAAAAGUUUUCAGCUCCAGCCCCUUCUUCAGUUAGUCUUUCAUCCUCCAAGAAUAAGUAUGACUAGAAGGGUAGAGCAUCAGGCCCUAAGUCUCAGGGAAGUGUUUCAGGCACCAAGACUUACCCCACUUGCCCUAAGUGUGGUAAGAACCAUCUGAGCGAGUGUCUCGCAGGAAAAGGAGGAUGCUUUGGGUAACUCAGUCUGGUCACAGGUUGAGGGAUUGUCCUUCUGGAAAGGGUUAAGGAGUUAGAAAUGGUAGAGCUUAAUCUACAACUUCAGUAGCACUAUCAAGUCACUCGACUCAGCAGGGUAAGUCAUCUGGUACAGGUGGCUCAGCGCUAGAACAAGUUGUAUGCUCUUCAGGAUCACCAGGAUCAGGAAGGUUCUCCUGAUGUAGUCACUGGUACGUUAUGAGUCUUUGAAUUUAAUGUUUAUGCAUUGUUAGAUCUAGGGGCUACUCUCUCUCUUUUGUAACUCCUUACAUAGUAGUCCAGUUCAGUGUUAGUCCAGAAACUGUCUCAGAACCUUUCUCAGUCUCUGCUCCAGUCGGUGACCCACUUAUAGCUAGAUAAGUAUACAGAA